UCCUUUGGCAUCUUCUAUACAUAAUAGUUAAGACUAUUAGUACUACGACAAUACCAAUUGUUGGUAAACCAUACCUAAAAGCAUGCAAUAUAAUCAUUUGGGAGUUUUUGUGGAUGUCGUUUUUGCAAGGUGGGACUAGCAAUCUAGGUGGACCACAAAGUGCACAAUUCUUCAUGAAUGAUGUGCUAGAAAUGUUUGAAAAACAUCCUUUGCUGGGAAUUUCCCCUUCAAGUCUAUUGAAAGACACAUUAAAAUACUUUAGAUAUAAAAGCUGUUCCAAAGAUUUGGGAAUGACUCCAGAGAAAUUGUUAUUGCAUAAAUCCAAGAAUUCCAAACUAAUCAACCCAUCAAAUGAUUCAGGGAUACGACCAUGUAGUAUAUUAUUUGAUAAAUCUAAUGAAACCAAAGUUUGAAGACCCCCAAAUGUGGAUAAGAUAUCGCCCAUGAGAAGAUUCCUUGAUAAAUUUAGUCUCAGUAGACUCCUAAAAUUUCCAACAUCAAUAGCAUGUGAAUUGUGAAGACGGUUUGAUGAUAAAUCUAUUUCUAAGAUAUCUUUAAGACUCCACAAAGUUGAGGGUAUUGUAGAACUCAAUUUGUUGGAAUCUAACCAAAGAUAUCUCAAAGCAGAAAUAUUACCUAAACAAGAGGGUAUGGAUCCAUGCAGCUUAUUCAACCCUAAAUGCAUCCCGUAUAGUCUCUCCAAACCACAGAGGCUUUCUGGGAUAGGCCCUCCUAAUUUAUUAGAGGAAAGAUCUAGACCUUGCAGAUUCCGCAGUCCUCCUAUUGAUGCUGGAAUGAAUCCACUUAAUUUAUUAUGGCCAAGUUCUAAAACCAAUAAGUUGGUUAAGUUACCUAUUUCCAUAGGAAUAAUGCCUUGAAGCUCACAAUUAUAGGCAAGAAAGAAUUGAAGGGAUUUUGAAAGGUUCCCGAUAUAAGUAGGAAGAACACCACUCAAUGGAUUUCCUGAAACUCCUAUGGCUUUCAAAUUCCUACAAUUCGUCAAAGAAGAAAGAAAGCUCCAGUCAUGAUCAGUAGCAGAUCCUGUGAUCAAAUUAUUGUCAAAGAUUUUGAGCACUUCAAGGUGUUUUAAGCUGCCUAGCGUUUUAGGGAUUGGGCCAGAGAAUAAGUUAUGUGACAAGGAUAGAAUCUUAAGCAUGGAAGCAUUGGAGAUAGAGUUGGGAAUGUUUCCGCUAAGUUUAUUUCCCCACAAUAAAAGAAUCUCAAGCUUUGGAGCAUUGGUGAUGGGUGGUAAAUUACCUGUAAAAUAGCAUCUUUUAGUAUACAUAUUCACAAAAUAUAUAAUACAUUAAAAUAAAAACUGUAAAACUUUAAAUCAAUUAAGAAUAAAAUUUUGGCAUGGAAAAAUGUGAUGAAAUCAAUUAGAAAGUUGAGACAUAAUAAGAAGUUUUGAGUACUAAUUAGUCUUUGUGAUUUGUAUAGACAAAACAUAUAAUACACUAAUAAUUUUUUAAAAUAUUGUAAAACUUGAAAUAAAAUAAAAAUAAAAGUUUGGCAUGAGAAUGUGGCAUCUAAUCAAUCUUAAAAAUGAGACUCACACUGAAUAAUAAUUAGUUAUGAUUUGGGAAACAAAAAUGUUAAAGCCAUUGUUUUUAAUGUAAACUGGUAUGAUUCUUAUCUAUUGGGUUAAUUAUUUAUUUUUAUUAAAUUAUAGUGUAAAAUUUAAAUAUUAUUAUUUGCUCAAAAUUUUUGUAUUUUUCGUAUAUUUGAAAUUCAAUCUUUAUAUUUUUUAUUUUCUGUGAUUUAGUCUCUCUACUUUUUUUAUUAAAAAUUUUAGGUUCAUUUAUUAACACUGUUAAAAAGUUUUUGUAUUAGUAUGACAUUUUGAAAAAUAAAAUAAACUUGAUAUCUAUGUUUUUAAUUAUUCCAAAUAUUGUUUUACUAUUUCAAGAUAAAUUAUUUGUGUCUAGACCAAUAUCUUAAGAACUAUUGUUGCAUGUUUAAUUAUUCUAAAAAAUUAUUGAUUGAGUCUUAGCUUGAUUGGCAUGUGCAUUGUUGCCAAUAUAAGAGAAUGUGGGAUCAAAUAUGCUGAAGUUCAUUAUCCUCCUAUUAUGAAUUGGGGAGUUGGUAAAGUAUUAAAUUUUGAUAUAUUUUAAAAUAUUAAAAAUUUAUUAAAAUAUUUUUUAUAAAAAUCGGUUGUACCACAAUAUACAAUUUUAAUAUCAAAUUUUUAAUAUUUUUAAAAUAUUAGCGAAUAUAUACUUUAUUUCAAGUUACACAAUUUUUACUAGUUUUUAACUUUUUUUAAAAUUUUUAUCGUCUUUUAUAAUUUCUAAUAAUUUUUUACAAUAUUUAACAAUUUCUAACCAUUUUUAAUAAUUUUAUUACUUAUUAAAAAUUAACAAAUUAACUAUUUUUUAUUUUUUUAAAACAAUUAUAUAUUUAUAAUGUAGUUAUUUUUUUAUAAUUUUAUUUGAAAUUUUAAAGUUUUUUUGGUUUGUUUUCUAGAUGAUGAUGCCAUCAUGAUGUCAUCAUAUGCCACAUGGCAAUUUAUGAUUAGUUGAAUAUCUCAAUUUAUUUUUUUAAUGUCCAAUGGACUAAACCAAGAACACUUGAUUAUGUUAGAGACUACACUAGGAAUGUUUGAUAACAUUAGGUACUAAAGUAGGAAAAAAAAAAAAAGGAGCAAUACGAUGUAGGGAGUAAACUGUGCAUUAAGCCAUUAAAAAUAUAUCUAUAAUAUAUAUAAAUGCAUGGAUUUUGAGAAACUUUUGAAAUGAUAAUUAUAUAGUCUUUGUUUUUUUACUAUAUUAUUGAAUUUGUUAUUUUAAAUAUUUUUUUAUUACUUUUAAGAUUUAUCAUAUGUAUGGAUAAGAAUUUUGGUUUUACUAAAAUAUUUGGUUAAAUAAAUUCACUUCAUAAGAAGAUUUAGCAUCCUUGUAAAUAACAAUUUUGAUUCUAUUAAAAAAUUAUUUUAAAAUAUAUAUAAUAAAAUUUUAAAAUUUAUAUUGAAUUACUUUAUACUUAAAUUAUUAUUAGAAACUUUAUCAUACACAUACGUGUAUGAGAACUAUGUAUUUAGAACAUAAAUUUGUGUUUUAAAAUAACUUAUGAUAAAUAAUGAAAUGUAUAAUUUGAAACUAUUUAAUAAAAACACAUGGCUUAUCUACAAUAUUAAAAUAAAAAUAGCUUAAAUUGUAAGCAAAACAUAAUUUAAACAUAUGAAUACAUUAAAUUAAGAAUACUAAAUGAAUACAGUUAUUUAUGAUGGUGUUGUCUUCAAUUCCUAAGUUGGUGUCAAGUUAAUUUGUGACAUCAUAAAUUUAAGGUUUUAUGUAUUGAUGUGGAUUCAAAUAUCACCAUUUUUUUUAAAAUAAAAUUUAAAAUAAAUACAUUUUCCACAUUGGUUUCUUUUCUUCUACAGACAAAGGAUUUCUAAUGAUUUUUUUUUUAAAAAAAAUUACUUAUAUAAAAUAGAUUAGUUUAUGCAAUAAAAAUAAUUUCUUUUUUAAAGUUUAAUAGAAAUUAAAAAACAAAAAAAAAAUCAAUUCAUAUAAAGCUUAUUGUUUAUUAUCAGAUUAAAAUGAUAAAAGUAUACGAUAAACCCAUACUUGACGGAAUGUUACCAGAUAAUUCAUUUUUAUUCUAGUAAAGCCCUUCAAGCUUGAGAAUAUGUUGACACAUAUCAUUAGGCAAACUACCUGAUAGGUUAUUGUUGGAGAGAUCAAUGGCCUUCAGAGAAGAAAUGUUGAAGAUCGAAGUUGGAAUCUGACCUGUAAGGCCUUUAAUUUCUCUAAUAUUAAGCAGUUCCAAACCAAGAAGAUUACCGAUUUCCUCAGGAAUUUGAUCUGCACACAUAGUCGAAAAAUCAAGAUGUGAAACUACCUAUUUUGUUAGCAUAAGUCAAAGAGGUUUUCUUUUCUGUUCUACAUAAUUUGCAGAUGUUAGAUUUUAAUAUUUUUAAGCAUAUUUGUUUUCAUCAAAUUAACUAUUUUGAACUAUUUUGCCUUGAAUGAAAUAAAAUGCUCAUAUUUUUGUUAUCUAUUACUAAUCAAACUCUUUUAUAAAAAAAAAUACUUUAAACUAAAGAAACCAAGAAAAUUCAAUACCUUCUAAGUUAUUCAACUCCAAAUAUAAUUCUUUGAGUCGUGUCAGAUUUCCAAUACUUCUUGGAAUGAUCCCCCUCAAUUUAUUAUCGGAAAAUGCCAAUAUUUUAAGGUUGCUGCAUUUGCCCAUACUUGAUGGAAUGUUACCAGAUAAUUCAUUUUUAUUCAAGUAAAGCCCUUCAAGCUUGGGAAGAUGUUGACACAUAUCAUUAGGCAAACUACCUGAUAGGCUAUUGCUGGAGAGAGCAAUAGUCUUGAGAGAAUAAAUGUUGAAGAUCGAAGUUGGAAUUUGACCUGUAAAGCCUUUAAUUGCUUGAAUACUAAGCAUUUCCAAAUUAAAAAGAUUACCGAUUUCUUCAGGAAUUUGACCUGCUGACAUAGUCGAAACAUCAAGGUGUUAAAUUACCUAUUUUGUUAGUGUAAAUCAAAGAGGAUUUUUAUUUUUCUCGUUAUGAAAUAAUAUGGAUAUGUUAGAUUCUAAUCAUAUUUAAGUAUAUAUUAGUUCUUGAAAGAAAGAGUUCUUAGUAUUUAUAUUGCAAAUAUUUUUUUUAAAAUUUAAAAAAAGGGGGGGGGCAAAUGUGUUUAAACUAAAGAGAUCAAGGAAAAGGCAUACCAUCUAGGUUAUUUAACCCCAAGUAUACUUGUUUAAGUUGUGUCAAAUUCCCAAUGCUUUUUGGAAUGAUCCCACUAAAUUGAUUAAUAGACAAUUCCAAAAUUUGAAGGUUGCAGCAUUUGUCUAUACUUGAUGGAAUAGAACUUGAUAAUUCAUUUCUACUCAAGUAAAGCUCUUUAAGCUUGGGAAGAUGGACACACAGAUCAUCGGGUAAGCCACCAGAAAGACUAUUAUCACGAAAAUGAAUCCUUUUCAAAGAAGAAAUGUUAAAGAUGGAAGAUGGAACCAGGCCAGAUAAUUGAUUGAAUCCCAAGUUCAAGAUCUCUAGAUUGGAUAAGUUGACAAGUGUUUGAGGGAUUGUGCCUGUGAAGUUAUUAUUUCUCAUUUCCAACCUUUGAACUCUGUGCAAGUUCCCAAGCCAUGAUGGAAUUUCCCCAUUAAGACGGUUGUAGCUUAAUCGAAUGAUCCUCAAACGAUGCAAUUGGCCCAAUUCUUUAGGCAGAUGGCCAUAGAAAUUGUUGUUGCUCAGGUCGAGAGAAAAUAGAAAUGAAAGAUUUCCAAGGUGUGGAGGGAUAGUACCCCUAAGAUUCAUGUUUGUAAGAUUCAAAGCUACAACUCUUUCAUGGAUGAUGUCACAAGAAACACCAGCCCACUUACAAACAGAGGUAGAGUUCGUCCAAUUGUUUGCCAACACAUUUUGAGGAUCGACAAUGCGAUCUUUAAACUCAAAGAGUGCAAACUGAUAGGAGUUGAGAUUCCGGACUGUCAUAGCCAAGGAAACAAUGGAACAUUGUAAGAAUAAAAGUGAAAGAAGAUGAAAGCAAGUGUUGUAGUUCAUGAUGGCAAGACGAAAUAAGCCAGGAAAAGGGAAGUUGAAUUGAUGAAGAAAUACCCAGCCAACAUGCUUAAAUAGGCUUCAACCCUUGCACACUUCUCAUACAUAAAGUUCACUGCCAUUACAACAAGAAAACUCGUAUCUCCAUUCAUACCUAUCCAUACUUUAUUUGACUAACUUUUCCCUAACAGGUGUUCAGUAAGGAGACAAAUCACUUUGGAGCUAUUCACCGACUUCUCCAACCUUGGUUUCAAACUCCGUCCAACCUUGGUUUCAAACUCCUAGCCCAUCAAUUCACUUUAAUUGAAACGAUAUACACGAGUCUUUCGGCUUAUAUUUUUAACUUACUAAUUCUCUUUUUAAUUUAUUUUUUGUUACUUGUCAUAAUAUUUUUUGAGAAAUCCAAUAUUCCAGUCUGAAAUUUCUUCAUUGCCACGUCUAUCUCCUCGGUAAGUUCGUGGCUAGGCGGCCCACUUUGGGGGCAGGAUUGUAAUUUUAGUUCUAUCCGACUCAUUUUACUAUUUAGAAAUAUAAAAGUAAUAUUUAUUAAUUUUUAUAUUUUUAUAAAUUUAAAUUUAAUUUUAAUUUUUAAACAAUAAAACGAGUCAUUUUUAUUUGCCUAGGCCAAAUUGAAUCAGGAGUGAAAAUUUUUUUAAUCAUAAUUUACUAUUAUUUUAAUUAAUUAAAUUUUAAUUUACUAUAACUAGUAGUUGCAAAAAAAAUGACAUUCCUUUAGAAAAAUGAGAACUUAUGAAGCAUUCAAUAAGAGUUGUUGGAAUACAUGGUAACGAAACCAUAAUUCGAUAUAAAACUAUAUAAAUAAUGUAAGAUUUGUGAUACCUAAAUUGUUAUGUUUUCUAUAAAUAUAUGGAGAUUUUUUAUUAGGAAAUAAUUUUAUAUAUCAACAUUUGUUAUUUUCUUUUGAUAGAAAUUUAAUUAUGUUAUCUGUAGAAAAAAAUAUUUAUAGAAAUAUCAUUAGUAGAAAAUCAUAAAUUUGUGUGUGGCAAAAAAUUUUCACCACCAAGAAAGGGACAAAUUAAACAACUUGAAAGUCAUUGGUUGUUUAAAAUAUUAGAUAAUAAUUUUAGUGAAGAAUCAUUAAAAUUAUGACAAAAUAACCCUAGAUAUUGUAGUAUUAAAUUAGAAAAUCUCAAUAAUAUUAUUAGAGUAAAACCUAUGAUGUAUCUAAACAAGAUAUAGAAGAAUUUGAUAUACAAAUUAAGGGUAGAAAUCAUACGGAAAUAAUAAAAAACAAGAAAAAGCUAGUAUGGUCAUUAAUUAUAAAAGAUUAAAUCAAAAUAUUAUUUUUUGUAGUUACUUGAAUUAAUCAGGAUAAACAAACAAAAUAUUUUAGUAAAUUUGACUGUAAAUCAGGAUUCUAGUAAAUCAUGCUAACAGAAAAAUCUAAACCUUUAACAGCUUUUAGUGCACCCAAUGGACAUUACCAAUGAAAAGUGAUGUCAUUUCAAUUAUGUGAUGCACCACAAAUCUUCCAAAGACAAAUAGAUUUUAUAUUUAAUAAAUAUAAAAAAAUACUAUGUAGUUUACAUAGAUGAUAUUUUGAUAUUUUCAGAUACACUAGAAUUACAUAAGAAACAUUUAAAUAUUAUUUCUUAAGAAUUCAUAAAAUAUAGAAUCAUAUUAAACCCUAAAAAUAUAGAGUUAGAAAAAACAGAGAGAAUUUUUACAAUAGUGGAAAUAAAAAAUUGUCCUCAAUUUUAUUACAGAAAUUUCUUUGCCGACAAUAAGAAAAGAGCAUAUUCACAUUUUCGUCGCAAUUUCAACUAACACCCAAUCUCUUUCCCACUUUCCUUUUUCGGCCAAUUUCAAACGUAGCUGUUUUUCGAUUUUUCCUCUUGAUUUCAUUAAUAAAAUGAUCAAUCUAUUUGUUUUUUAAAUAUAUGAUUUUAUUAAUAUUUUUUAAUUAUAAUAUAAGAGUUGUUGUUUAUUUAUAGUUUUAUUACAUUAUUUAAUCUCUUUUUUAUAUCAAGUUUUUUAAAUUAUAAUAUAAGAUUUAUUUUAUCAAAUUGUGGCUUAUCAAAUGUUCAUCUAUUUUAAUAAUAACUUGAGUUCGAAUCAUUAUCAUACCAGAAAGAGUUCCCUUUAUUCUUUAUCGUAAAUUUUAUAAGAAAUUAUAUUUUAUUACAAUACUAUAUGUGUUAGAAUAAUAUUUUAUUGUGGAUGCCCAUAAUUCUCGAAGUUGUAACCUCGAAUGUAGUAACCUCAAUGAAAUUAUGAGGCUUUUAUAUUGUAAUCAAGCCUCUAUCUAUUCUUUGUAUUCUUUGUAGAAAAUAUGAAGUUGAUUUUACUUUAUUAAAAAAUUUAAAAUAAAUUAUCUUGUUUUUUUUAAAUGAGUUAACCAAAUUAGCAUAUUUAUUUUGAUCUAAAAUUAUCCAAAAUAAUAUAAAAUAUUAUAUUAAUAAAAUUAAAACUAUGAAAUAAUUUUUUUUAAAGAUUAUUAUUUACUUUUAUCAAACAAUACAAUUAUAUUCAGUACUUAUAUUUACUAGUUUACCAAACAGUUUUCCAAUAUGAAUUCAACACUUAUCAAAUUCAGUAUUAAAAAUUCAGUGCUUAAUUUUUUAGCACUUAACUUUUCAAUUCAUCAAGCACGUCUAAUUCAAUUUAUACAAUUCCCUAUUUGUAUCUCUAUGAAUUUAUAAAAUCCUUCUCGCAUUUAGUUGUUGGGAUCUUUAUAUGAAGAUAGAUGCUUUUAUUUUUUAUUGGUUCACUUUUAAUUGUAUUGAUUUAUUUAAUUUUAAUUUUGAUUAAUAUAUAUGAUUAUUGUGGAAUGGGAGUAAAAGUAUUUACUUCUCAUAAACUUUGAAAUAUUCACCCUGUCUACAUAUUAAUUAUUGUAAAAUUUGAAUUGAAAUUAUGCCAUAAAAGGUGGAGGUUAGAAAACCUCUUAUUGAGACCUUAUAAUAUUUUGUAAUUUUUUGUGUUAUGGUAUAUAAAAAAAUAUCUAACCAUAGUGAUUGAUUAGUAAUAUAAAUUUGUUAUUUGUUAUGUUUAAUAUAUAUUUUAUUUAUACUUAUUCAUUUUAUUUUUAUAUGAGUAAAUGAAGUGUUUGAAGAUUCGAAAUUUUUAUCAUCCAUGUUGAAAAUAACUGCAAAAGUGUAUAUUAUUUAAAAUAAAUUACGCAUUCAUUAAUGUUAUGUGAUAAAAUCAUUACAUUUUCUGAAGAACUAAUAUUGCAUCAAACUGUAAAAAGCUCUUGAAGAGCUAAUAUUUAUCUCCCUGUGAUGCAAAAUCUUGUAAAACAUGAUAUUAUUUUUCAAAUCAAGAAGAUUUAUGUUGAAGGAAAUAUUUAUGUGUUUUACAUUAAAACCAUGGAUAGAAAUGACAUGAGACACUCAUGUAUUUGCAUUAUAAAUAUUCCUUGAAGGAAUACACUUCACUUGUAUGAUUGACAUAUGAGAUAAUAGCAAGAAGUUUAUAGUGUUGGUAUGGCCGGCUAGACCAUCUCAAGUCAAUAAUGAUGCAAAAUAAUUUGAAGAGAAUUUAUAUGAUUUUAUUGAAGAAUGAGAAGUUAUUUUCAUUUUGAUAAUUGUCAUCAACAAUAGUUCUUUGGAAAAAAAAAUAUUGAACUAACAUCAACUAAAGUUAGAGGUUGGUUCAUGGUUGCAUUUUUUGAUGAUAUCCAAAUAAUAUAUGAGCUCAUGUAUCACAUGUAUGCAACCCAAAGUUUACAGUAUUAUUUCUUGAAAUAAUUUGAUUCUACACAAUCUCUAUAGCAUGCAAUUUGUGCUAACAACACUGGUGCAUUAUAUCCUAAGCUUGAUUUUCGUAGUUUUAGCUGAGAUAAUAUUAAGUUGUCUAUGCCUAUAUAUAUUAUACUUAAUGGUUAGCAAAAUUAUGCCUCCAUUUAAUUGCUUAACCAUUAAUAUAAGAAUAGCUUUAAAAUAAGCAUGUAAUUUUAUUUGCAUCGAGCCAACAUGUAAGAAAUAUUUGUCCCAUGAGAAUUAGCUUUUAUUUAUAAGCCAAUAGGUUUCAUUUAUGACUAUUUGGAUGUAAAAUAUCUAUUUUAUAUUCCACCAUAAUGCACUAAGAUGGACCAUCAAGUAUGAAGUUGAGAAAAAUUAGAAUUUUUAUUUGAUGGUAAAAGUUGCAAAGAGAUAUAUAUUUAUAAUUUUGAAAAAAAUAGUCAUGUUGCAAAUUUUCUCAGUAUUAGAGGGAGACAAGUUGGACAAAUACGUAUAAUUAUGUCAUCACUUUUUGUGACCCCUCACUAAUCUUAUGUGCACAAAGUUUGAAGGAAAAAAAUAAUUUGCUAGACAUGUUUAGUGAUGACAUUUAGAGAUUGUAUAUAUUGGAUGAUACAUAUACCAGCUAAAAUGUUCCAAAUAAUUAUGCGUCCUAGAAGGACAAAGUGAUAAAAAUAAUUUUUGGGCACGCUAGAAGGAUGAAAAACUAGUUGGUUCUAUAAAUAAAAAAAUUCUUGACAGAAAAGAGUAAGAAAUGAAUAUGGCCACACGUUAAAGGAGACGAGUACUCAUGAAGAGACCCAAGGUAUAACUUUUAAUAAAACCCCAAAAGAGGUUCAAUACAUGAAAUUAUGAAUAUAAUAAGUGUAAUAACCAAAUUUUUCCCGGGCCCAAUGCCAAACAAAUAAAACCCAAACCAAAUAAAUAAAAUAAGAGUCCAAAUUAUAGUCCAUUAGGGCCCAAUUCAGACCAGCCCACUAUUCAAUCAGACCAGCCGAACAACAAAAAAAAAACCUAGUAGCCCACAGCCCAACUAAGCCUAAAAAAUUUUCAGCAAAAGAAAAAACCCUAGCUGCCAUGCUAGCCGCCGCUCCUGCCCUAGCCUCUGCCCACUAUCGUACGCCACCUCUGCCAUCACCAUUAGCCUCUGACACCUGCAAAACAGCAAACAACAUGCAACAACAGAGAAGAAGACGACAAGCAAAAAACAAAUCACUAAAGGACAAAAAUAAUGAUAACAAAUAGCCUUAGUUUGGCUAUAAAAGCACAAAAAUGAAAACUUUGUACUUCUUUGGCAAGAUUAAUACAAAAAAGAAAAGAUUUGAACUUUUUAGGGUGAUAUUUCAUUUUUUUUUACGCUUUAGAUCUAUUUUUUUAUUUCAUCUUCAUCUACGAAAAUAAUAGAAAAAAGACUUUGAUUUCAAGGUGAUAUUUUGUUGUUUUUUAGAUCUAGUGUUUUUUUAUUUAUUUUUAUCUACAAAAAUAAAAAAAAAGGAAAAGAGAAACGUACCUAAUUCACCCCAUGGCUCCGUCGACGGAAGUCCCAUCGCCAUCGUCGGAAUCGGGCUUAAAAGGGGAAGGUUUUUAUUUUUCUUUACUUUUUUUUUGGAUUUUUCGUCUCAAGAAAUGGACUAAGGGAGGGGAAAUGGCCAAAAUGGUCUUUUUCCGAUGAACUCUGGCAACCACAUGUGGCAGUUAACAGUGCCGGUGCUCGGUGGCUGCGGUGGAGCCAUGGUGGUGUCCCAUGGCCGGAUCUAGAGAGGAAGCCUUUGAGAGGGAGAGAGUUUCUAACAUUUUUUUUAUUUUCUAAGGCAGAAAUGAAUUUUUGAAAAAAAAAAGUUGGGUUUUAUAAGUGCGUGAAAUGGCGCCAUUUUGCGCAAGUGCACAUCGACGUCGAAACGACAUCGUUUACCCCUUUACCCGCUCGCCCGAGUCUGGCUCGAUGAAGGUCCGCAUAUUUUCAUGCCUGAUGGGUUAUUUCCCUGCCCGAUCCUUCCGCUUUUGGGCUUCUUCUCAAUCUGGUCCUGAUCCUACUUUUUCCCGCCUUUUAAAUUGUACCAUUUAAUUUCAUUUCAUUUUCAACUCGGUCCCUCGGCUGACCAAAGGAAAUGAUGCGCAUAAAGUUAAGGGAUAUUUUCCCUUUCAAUCCCCAAUAUUUUUAGAGCGAUGCAUUUUAAUCCCUAACCUUUCAUUCCAAUCUUUUACACAUAUUAUUUCAUUUUAUUCGUUUAUUUAUUGACUUAUCAUUUUUACCCUCUUUUUAUACUUAAAAAUAUAUAUUAUUUACACUAUUACUUGCAUUUUUUUACUAUUAAAUUAUUAUUUUUAAUGUAUUAUAUUCCCAUUAUUUUACCAUUUUAUUUAUUUUGAUACUUUCAUGUCACAUUUAUUUAUUUUAAUAUUGCCAUUAUUUAUUUUAUUUUAUUCUUAUGUUUUUUAGUAUUUUAUUAUUUCUUUUAUUGUUCACGGUUUUUUUUUCAUGUUAUACAUUUUUAUCUUUCUAAUCAUGCAUUUUUCCUUUUUUUAUUUUGUUUUAGGUUACGUUAUUUAUUAUUAUUAUUAUGAUAAUAUUAUUAUAAUUAUAUUACCAUUAUUAUAGAAUUCCUUUAUUUGUAUAUUCCAUUAUAACUAUUAUUAUUAUUAGUAGUCUUUAACUCACUUCUAUUUUUAUUAUUAUUUUUUAGAAUAGUAGUCAACAUGCUUAUCCUUAUUGUUAUUUGGUGUUGUUCUUAUGAUUUUAUCAUCAUUAUUGUUGUAUUUCAUUUUUUGUUCACUCUUUAAAUAUUUUGUUCAUAUAGUUAUUUUACACUAUUGCAAUAUUGUUGCAUUACGCAUUAUGUUUCUUAUAUAAUAAUUAUUUUGCUUUCACGCGAUGUUCGAAUCAAUUAAACAUGAAUCUUCUCAAUUAUUACAUUAAUUGUUACUUAAGUUCAAAAAGAAAAUUUUCAAAAUAAGGCAAUAUUUUGCGUUUUGGAAAUUCGAGAAAUCAUACCCUAACUUACGAGGUUUCGAUUUUCUCGUUAAACUUAAAUAGCAAAAUAUUCUUUUAAAUUUCAAAAUGCAUGCAAUUUCAAUAAAAAUCAAAGGCAAGCUUAUUCUCUAAGGUUCCAAAUAUCGCGUCCUAACUUACGGGAUGUGACAUUUCGUUACCUCGAGACGAGUAGGUCUUCAACACUCUUUUCGAUUUAUUCGAGCGUUUUUAAUAACAUUAAUAAAAAGGGAUCGUAUUUUAAAUUUCUAUUCAAGUUUUCAACCUUGGACAUUAAGACAUUACUUAAUCAACUAGGUACCACCUUUGGGUGUAUUGAGGGUGUGUUUUCUAGAUUUUGUAGACCAAAUAUUAUCGUUUUUAGUAAAUUUAAAUUUUUAUUAAAAUGAUUAAAUUACAAGUGUUGACACCAUUUUUUCGAUGAAAAACGGGGUCGACUUGGGUUUUAAAAAAAAUGAAAAACGGGAGUCGCCACCAAUCCUUUUUGAUAAGGUGUGAUUGGGUCACCUUGAAAAAUGGUUGUUUUUAAUAAAUGAUUUGAUUUUAUUAAAACAACGGUUUUGGUCCAUGAAAUUUAGAAAACGGGUUCGGGAGUCGAUUACGUACGAGGAAGGAUUAGCACCCUCGUAACGCCCAAAAAUUGGUACCUAGUUGGUUAGCUAAUGUCUUGAUGUCGAAAAUUGAGAACUUGGAAAAAAUUAAAAAUACGAUCCUUGUAUUAAAAUGAAAAUUUUAGGAAAAGGGGGGGGCAUACUUCACGCUAAUCGAGAAAGAGAAUCAUAUCCAGUAAGUUAGGACACAAUGUCUCGAAUUCCCGAUACGCGAAUGAAUGCCAAAAUUUUACUUAUUUAAAAGACAUUUUAGCCGUCUCGAAUUUAAAAAUGAAAUCACGACCAGUAAGUUAGGACGUGAUUUUUUAAAACUUGAGUUUGAAAAGAUUCGUGCAUCUAGAUUUAUCGUGAAAAUCAAUACCCAGUAAGUUAGGGUACGAUUUUCUUGAAUUUAAACACGAAAUGCCAUUUUUUAAAACAAAUUUUGUUAUAUCGAGUGAAAUAAAAACACAAAGUCGUAGUAAAAAAAUGUGUAAGCAAAUUACAUUGUUAUGCAUGGCAAAAUCAUAAUGAAUACAAAAGUAUAAAAAUGAUACGAGCAAUAAAAACAAUAUAAAAUAAAUAAAAGUCAAACCUACAAUAAUAUUAAAUAACAAUGUAUAUAAACAAAUAAAAUUAAAACAUUCAUUCAAAAUAAUAAUGAAAAUGAAAUAAAUAAAUAGUAAAUACAAAAUAAAACAAUAGUAAUGAAUAAAAAUAAUAUAAUAUAUAUAUGUAUGUUAGAAUUAUAAAGUAUAAAAAUAUACGUAUGUGUAUAUAAGAAUAUGUAAGCAUGUAUAUAUACAUAGAUUAUAAAAUAUAGAUAUUUAUAUAAAAAUGAGUAUUUGUAUUAAAUAAGUUGAAAAAAUAUAUAUAUAUAUACCUACAUAUAUAUAAAAAAUUAUAUAAUAAUAACAAUAUAAUAAAACACAUAUAUCUAAAAUUUACAUAAGUAAAUAUAAAUAAAAACAUACUAAUAACAAUAAUAUUAAUAGUAAAAUGAUAAUACAUAAAAAUGAUGAAGAAAAUAAUAAAAAUGCUUAAAAGGGGACUAAAUCGAAGUAAGAACCAAAAAAAAAGGGGCAAAAUCGAAAUAAAGACAAGAGGGACUAAAUUGUAACGCGCGCUGAAAGAGGGGGACCAACAAGGUAAACAAACCAAAGCCUCAAAACGUUGCUCUGUAAAGGACUGAAAUGAGACAAAAAUAAAAUUUUGUGGCCAAAUUGCAAAUAUGCGAAAAACUUCCAUGAAAUCGCUACAAAAUCAAAGGGACUAAUUGCGCAAAUAGACCCUUAAACAAAAACGCGCGGAUCCUUGGGUGCGGGUCGGGUCGACGUGCGGAUCCCCUCACCAAAACGGCGUCGUUUUGUGUUUAAUAUAAAUAUAAAAAAAAGGGCUAAAAAAAACAGUUUCAUCAUUUUUGUUGAAAAACAAAGAGAAACCUCUCUCUUUUUUCCCUUUCUCAGGCUCAGAUUCCGGAGAUGGCCCGGCCUAGGCUUCUGGCGAAUCUCCGCCGUAGAGCCACCGUGUGUGGCGGCCGGAGGUCCAAAAUCGGACCUUUUCGGUCCCUUUUUGAAACUGAGAAUCCCUAGGGUACGGAUCUGGGACCAAACCCCCGAAAAAAAGAAUCGGAGACCUGAAGAACGAGGGGAAACCGCUCGUCUUCUCUCCUCCGGCGCGGCGCAGGUAAGGUUUCUUUUUCCUUUAUUUAUAUUACGUAAAAAAAACAUACAAAAAGAAAAAAAAAGAAAAUAGAGUUUAAAAAAAAUCUAAAAUAGAAAUGAGAGAAAAUCACCUCUCAAGUUUUCUUGUUUUUUAUUUCUUUUUGCUAAUAUCUGUUUCUUCUUUUUACAAAAGUUGAUGGAAGAAGAAAAAAUUACAUUUUGUUGGCUUUUUAUAGCCGACUUCUACUACUGCCUGUGUUAUUUGCUCUCUGUUUCUUUGUUUUGUUUCUUCUUUGCAGGUGACGGCGCAAGUGGUGGUGGUGACGUGACCGUGGCAGUGGCGGCGUGACGUUGGCGGCGGCGGCAGGCCAAAGGUCAAUAGGUGUGGAGCCUAGGGUUUUAGUUUUUGAAACCCUAGGCAGAUUUUUUUAGGGGAAUUGGGCCUUAGCUAUUGGGUUGUUCGGGUUUGGGCCUCGGGUUAGGCUAGUUGGGCUUUGAGGUUGGGUUGUUUUGUAAUGUGCUUUGGUGUUUGGGCUGGUAGCUGGUGGGUAAGGUUUAUUGUUUUGGGUUCUUGGGCCUGGUUCUGUUUGGUUAGGGUAAUGGGCCAUUUGGGUCUGGGCAUAAAAUUGGGCUAUACAACAAGGUGACCCGAUUACACCUCAUCAAAAAGGAUUGGUGGCGACUCCCAUUUUCAUUUUCAUUUCUUUUUAAAUCAAAGUCAACCCGUUUUUAAAAAAAAUGGUUUCGACAAUAAGAUAUAUUGAUUAGUUAUGUCAUAACUAAAGAUGAUGGAGUUGACAAAAGGAAAUUGUAGUUAACAACGAAUAAUCUACGUAGAACAUUUCAAUAUUAUGGAAAAAUGAGUAUUUACCAACCUUCUUUUAGUCAAAUUAUGCAAGCCUAAAAUUUUUAGCUUAAUUUGAGUUUGUUGACUAUGUCUAAUUCAAGUUUUAUUAUUAAGGACUAAAUUGUAACUUAAAAAAAUUAGAAUACCAAUUUAAAGAGACAAAAAUUCAAAACCCCAAAACCCACAUGGGCAUGUGGGUAAGUGACACAGGCGUGUGGAGACUGGAGCUAUCACACACGGGCGAGUGGGACAGAAAAAUAUGAAAUAAAUUAAUCCACUUAAAUUUCAAACAACCAUGCUAUACUACCAAACCAAAUAAUGCUAGAAGCUUUGAAUAGGGGUGAAUCGAAAAAAAAAAUAAAAGAAUUAGAAUUAAAUUAUAAAAUUUUCAGAAGUUAUCAUGUAUUAAUUUAUUAUUUUUUAAAGGGUCUUAAUAGAAUUUUUUUUUUCCAUUUUGGUUUGGCCAAUACCCCUGUCUACCUCUUUCAAUUUGCUUCAACCCUAAACCUAAUAUUCAAUUUGUUGUGGAAGUUUGACGCAUAAAAAUUUCUUUUUUAGAGGUUUAAAUUAUAAAUUUUUGAAAGUUUAAAAUAAAUUUUCAUUUUUAUUAACAAAAUAUAAAAGAAAAAAAACAUGUGUAGACAAACCAAGAAACCUUUGGGAUCAUACGGGUGAUUUUGAUGAUGUUAAUGGUUAUUUUGAUGGAGAGGGUGAAAAAGAAACAAAUGAUUCAUAUAUAUAAUAUAAUUAUGAAAUUCAAGCCAUAUAUUGUAUGUUUCAUCCAUAAAAAUUUCAUGGGAGGUCCGAAGGUAAUUAAAUGACUUGUAGGCUUGCUGAAUUUCUUUGAAAGGCCCAAUGGCAAUUUAACAUUCACAAAAUAAUCUCUAAAUACUGUAAAGACAAAAUCAAAUCCACAGCAGCAUUAGAGUUGAUUAAGCUAAGCAUUGGCAAAUAUUACUUUGAUUUUGCAUGCAAUAUUAGCAAAACCCCCUCUUACAUUAGAUAAACAACAUACUCCAUGAAACAUUGAUAGCCCAAAUACAAAUUUCAUCGACAAAAAAGUCUCUUUGUUUUGUAGAACAUGAUAGUAAAAAUGUGGAGUUUCGUUCUUCUUAUUGGCCUCCUUUAGUUUUCCUUGAUCAACAACCACUAGCCAAAAACACAAUUAGAUUAGAUUAUGAAUGAUACGUUCAACUAUGACAUUAUUAAAUAUAAAACACUCUAAAUAACUCUAAAUAAAUGGAAAGCAACAAAUUACCUAACGAGGCAAGCUAGCUCAAUUAAGACCAUUGUGUUAUACUUGUCUCUGAAUUGAAAAAUUUAGAAGGAAAUAAAGAGAAAGACUUAGAAAAUAUUUGAAAACAGAUAAAACUUAUAUGUCAUUUAAAAUAAAAAUUUUGUAUUUAAGCCGUUUAAAAUUUUUAAGAUUUUUGAAAUUUUAAAACGAUAAAGGUAAAAUUGUACUUUGGCACACCAAAAAUGAUAAAACUUUGAUUUAAUCCUUUAGAAAUUAUAAAAAUAUAGGCUAUUAAAAUGGUGAAAUUACCUUUUUACUAUAGUAAAAAUUACAAUUUAAUUUCACUUUAAGAUUUUCUGACUUCGCCCCUAAUAAAAUCUUUGGCAAAAGAUUAAAAUAAAAUUAUACCGUAAAUGGAAAAAGAAACAAAGAAAAUCCAAUCUAACAAAGAAAAUAACUUAUUUCCAAAAGCUACCAUAAACCGUAAUUCAUGGGAAGAGAGCCUAGUACGUGAGAGCAAAAGUAAAAACAAAUAGUUUAUAUGAUUAAAAUUCCAGAAUAGGUUAAAAAUGUUGAAUUAAAGAUAAAAUUAAGCGUGAAUUAAUAACCACAAGUGUACUCUUUACUCACCAUCUCUGUUAAAAAUGUUGGAUGUUGUUUAGCAACCUUUGUUUGAUUUUCUUCAGCUCAACCACAACAUCUUUCAUUUCUUUUCUUUCUUCUGGUAACUCAGCUGAACAAUUCAAAGCCAACUCCAUGAUAGAUGAAAUACAAUUUGCUUUAACAACAAUGUUCUCAUCCUCUCUUCUUAGUAAAUCAACAUCUGCAAUUUCUAUCGCUCCUUUAGGCAAUGAACUUUCCAUCCAAUGCCUUAUAGUCUCUUCUUCAACAAAAACAUUAUCAGUUGGCUUUCUCUUUGUGAAAGUUUCUAUAAGGACGAUCUCAUAACUAUAAACGUCAGAUUUUAUAGAAACAAGUCCUGCAGAUCCAAAUUCUGCAUUUCAAGUAUAAUUAGAACAUCAUCAGUCCUCAAUUAUUUGAUAAAUCUAUGUAUAUCCACAUACACGAGAAACAAAAAUAUAAAACGCAAAUUAGGAAAAUAAUCGUACAAAGAUAAAAAAAGAAUUCACCUGGUGCCAUAUACCCGAUUGUUGCAAGAGUCAUGGUUUGCUUCAUUACUUCACCUUCUCCCAACAAUUUGGCAACGCCAAAAUCUCCAACAUGUGCAACCAUGUCUUCAUCUAGUAAAAUAUUGCUUGGUUUUAUGUCACAAUGAAUUAUAGGGGUUGGAUGUCCAUUGUGGAGGUGUUCUAUAGCCACCGCAACAUCUAUCAUUAUGUCGACCCUUUGUAUGAUAUCAAGGAAACAAUUUUUAGAAUGUAACCAUUUCUCAAGGUUUCCAUUAGACAUGUAAUCAAGCACCAAGGCUUUGAAGUCAACACUUGAGCAGCAAGUAAUGACCUUCACAAUAUUACGAUGAACUAUAUUAAUCAUAGCAUCACAUUCAAUGUCAAAACUCCUAAAUGCUCCCUCUGUUUGCAAAUUGAAAACUUUUAUUGCAACUUCCAUUCCAUCUGAAAGCCUCCCUUUAUAUACAUAUCCAAAACUCCCUGAACCAAGCAUAUUGCUUUCCUCAAAUCCAUUAGUUGCUCGUGAAAGUUCAGCAUAUGAAAUUCUUCUCGGUGUCUUCAAAGACAACAAAUCAUCUUUAAUUGGUAGAGCUGUAUUAGCUAAUGUUUCAAAAUUUAAUGUUGGUUCAUUAGAACCGUAUAAACCGAGACCCAAAAACUCCUUCUUUGGCAUCUUCUAUACAUAAUAGUUAAGACUAUUAGUACUACGACAAUACCAAUUGUUGGUAAACCAUACCUAAAAGCAUGCAAUAUAAUCGUUUGGGAGUUUUUGUGGAUGUCGUUUUUACAAGGUGGGACUAGCAAUCUAGGUGGACCACAAAGUGCAUAAUUCUUCAUGAAUGAUGUGCUAGAAAAGUUUGAAAAACAUCCUUCACUGGGAAUUUCCCCUUCAAGUCUAUUGAAAGACACAUUAAAAUACUUUAGAUAUAAAAGCUUUUCCAAAGAUUUGGGAAUGACUCCAGAGAGAUUGUUAUUGCAUAAAUCCAAGAAUUCCAAACUAAUCAACCCAUCAAAUGAUUCAGGGAUAUGACCAUGUAGUAUAUUAUUUGAUAAAUCUAAUGAAACCAAAGUUAUAAGACCCCCAAAUGUGGAUAAGAUAUCGCCCGUGAGAAGAUUCCUUGAUAAAUUUAGUUUCAGUAGACUCUUCAAAUUUCCAACAUCAAUAGCAUGUGAAUUGUGAAGAUGGUUUGAUGAUAAGUCUAUUUCUAAGAUAUCUUUAAGAUUCCACAAAGUUGAGGGUAUUGUAGAACUCAAUUUGUUGGAAUCUAAGUAAAGAUAUCCCAAAGAAGUAAUAUUACCCAAACAAGAGGGUAUGGAUCCAUGCAGCUUAUUCAACCCUAAAUACAUCUUGUAUAGUCUCUCCAAAUCACAAAGGCUUUCUGAGAUGGGCCCUCCUAAUUUAUUAGAGGAAAGAUAUAGACCUUGGAGAUUUCUCAUUCCUCCUAUUGAUGCUGGAAUCAAUCCACUUAAUUUAUUAUAGUCAAGUUGUAAAAGCAAUAGGUUGGUUAAGUUACCUAUUUCCAUAGGAAUAAUGCCUUGAAGCUCACACUCAUCGGCAUAAAAGUAUUGAAGGGAUUUUGAAAGGUUCCCAAUAUAAGUAGGAAGAACGCCACUCAAUGGAUUUCCUGAAACAUCUAUUGUGCUCAAAUUCCUACAAUUCGUCAAAGAAGAAAUAAAGCUCCACUCAUGAUCAGUAGAAGAUCCUGUGAUCAAAUUAUUGUCAAAGAUUUUGAGCACUUCAAGGUGUCUUAAGUUGCCAAGCGUUUUAGGGAUUGGGCCAGAGAAUAAGUUAUGCGCCAAGUCUAGUUCCUUAAGCAUGGAAGCAUUGAAGAUAGAGUUGGGAAUGUUUCCGCUAAGUUUAUUUCUCCACAAUAAAAGAAUCUCAAGCUUUGGAGCAUUGGUGAUUGGUGGUAAAUCACCUGUGAAAUAGCAUCUUUUAGUAUACACAUUCAUUGAAUACCAAAUUCACAAAAUAUAUAAUACAUUAAAAUAAAAACUGUAAAACUUUAAAUCAAUUAAGAAUAAAAUUUUGGCAUGGAAAAAUGUGAUGAAAUCAAUUAGAAAGUUGAGACAUAAUAAGAAGUUUUGAGUAGUAAUUACUCAUGAUUUC
rnacentral:lncRNA from 1 species